UACAGAGGUCUCAAGCGUUGUUCGGAUUCAUUGGGCGUAAAGGGUGCGUAGGCGGCGCGGUAAGUCGGGUGUGAAAUUUCGAGGCUUAACUUCGAAACUGCAUUCGAUACUGCCGUGCUUGAGGACUGGAGAGGAGACUGGAAUUUACGGUGUAGCGGUGAAAUGCGUAGAUAUCUGGAGGAACACCGGUGGCGAAGGCGGCAUCCUGGACCGGCAUUGACGCUGAGGCGCGAAAGCCAGGGGAGCAAAGCGGG
rnacentral:rRNA from 1 species